GUCCGCACUUGUGGGCUCCCUCGCUGGCCACGGAUUUCCCCUUGGCUUCACGAUGGGGGAUAUAUCGCCCCACCCCGGUCCCGCCUGAGCGGGGGAUCGUAGUGUGGUCGGAUCCGUGACCUUUUUCCAAUGCCCCUUGUGCAGACUUUCCAAGCCUGCUACGUGACAGCUGCCGACGGCGGAGUAUCGAUAUAUCGGUAUAUGCAAGCUCGCUUGCGCUCCCCACCACUAUUAGCGAUCAGCUGUUCGCAAACAAGCAAAGCAGAGUGCGGAAAUGGGAAAAUUGUUUUUGUCGUCCAAAGAAGAGAGCGCGAAAAACCCGUGGCCUCCUCGCCUCUCCUCUCCUCCUCUGUGUGUGGAACGUCCCCCAACGACUGGAUUCCGCGCAGGGAGACUCACCCUGAACGCGUAUGUCGGCCUUGCUCGGUACGUACCCAUUCCUAUCGGGCACCUUCUCACUUUUACCUUUUUUCAGGCAGUUUCACACACGGAAAAUGAUUUAGACGCUGGACGCUUUCACUCUCUUUGACUUGUGUCGUGAGCUGAAGUGUAAGUUGGUAUGUGUGGCAUACCCUAAACUUCUUCUGGCCUUGGCGAAAAAUUGUCGCCUGUCGACUGUCUUCUGCCUGCUUCUGCCGUCCAGCACAUGUGCGGUUUAAACUUCACUUUUUCAUGUGGUGCGCUGGUGGUAAAACAUUCGAGAUUUCUUUCACUAAGCUUGUGUCGGGUAAAAUUACUUUCGCAUAUCGACUGCCACCGUGCCGGUAGAAAACUAAUUGCUGCUACACUAUUUUAAAUUUAAGUAAGAAAAAUAUUAAAUUUAAAUAUGAAAUAUAUUCGAUUUAAAUAUGAAAUAUAUUAAAUUUAAAUAUGUAAAAUAUUACAUUUAAAUACGAAACAUUUUUAAUUUAAAUAUGAAACAUAUUAAACUACAAUUUUAAUAUAUAAUAGUUAUUUUAAAGAGUUUUAAGAUUAAAUAAUAAAUUAAAUAUUCAUAAUAGUUUUAUAAUCUCUUAUACUAAUAUGCUAUUGUCGCGCUCAUCGCUCCCUCUCACAGUGCAUAGAAGCGAACGCAUAUGUAUGCACCCUUCGUACUGCUUAUAUUGCAGCGCUUUGCCCUUUUCUUUGGCCCAGUCUAAAAUAUUGUCUAAAAUCACGGCCACGCCCCCUUUAAAUUGUAUAAAAUUGUCCAAUAAUAAACAAAUAUAUCAAAAACUAAAAAUGAGAAUAAUUGUCGUAAAUGUGGAGUCAGAGUUGCCGAAAAAGCUCGGCAGCUUCCAACA
rnacentral:lncRNA from 1 species